rnacentral:rRNA from 1 species
UACGAAGGGGGGCUAGCGUUGUUCGGAAUUACUGGGCGUAAAGCGCACGUAGGCGGCUUUGUAAGUUAGAGGUGAAAGCCCGGGGCUCAACCCCCGGAAUUGCCUUUAAGACUGCAUCGCUAGAAUUGUGGAGAGGUAAGUGGAAUUCCGAGUGUAGAGGUGAAAUUCGUAGAUAUUCGGAAGAACACCAGUGGCGAAGGCGACUUACUGGACACAUAUUGACGCUGAGGUGCGAAAGCGUGGGGAGCAAACAGG